GAGCCGCGGGGACGCAGCGACAGCGUCGGGGUGCUGGCAGUGGUCGCCCACGCCUCCCAGGGGUUGCAGGCCUGGGCGCCGGGGUUGGACCAGUCUUCCGGGCAUUGCACGCCCUGGUUUGGUCUGUACCCAUGGUUUGUGGCGGGGCAAGACGUUAAGUUGGGUAACACCGAGAUUAUUAAAAACUCCAAUUUGUGUCUGUGUAACUCAACGUGGGAACCUGGAACCAUGUUUACUCUUCUGAUGACCCUGAAAGGGUUGGUUGGAGCAUAGAAGAAGCGGGAGGGGCAGGAAAGAGCUUACUUGGCUGGGACUGUCAUGAUCUUGCUGUUUUGGUGCCCUCAUUGUUUUGGUAGGCAUUCAAAGUUGACCCUUUUUCUUGUGGGUUGCUUUUGUGGGGUGUGCUAGAUAUCUUUAUUUGUCUCUCCAGAGCCAACCUCUCAUCCUCCUUCACCCUGCUUUGUUUCCAGGGCUGGCGCAUGUAGAAUGUAUCAAAGGGCUCCCUUACCUUUCAGUGUCUGCUUGAGUUUGGUGAGUGGGAGUCCCAGGCAAGAGUCUGGAGAGAAUCAGGGGAGAGAUGCUGGGGUAGUUAUUCCUCUGGUUC
rnacentral:lncRNA from 1 species